rnacentral:rRNA from 1 species
GAUGAACGCUGGCGGCGUGCCUAAUACAUGCAAGUCGAGCGAACGGACGAGAAGCUUGCUUCUCUGAUGUUAGCGGCGGACGGGUGAGUAACACGUGGAUAACCUACCUAUAAGACUGGGAUAACUUCGGGAAACCGGAGCUAAUACCGGAUGAUAUUUUGAACCGCAUGGUUCAGAAGUGAAAGACGGUCUUGCUGUCACUUAUAGAUGGAUCCGCGCUGCAUUAGCUAGUUGGUAAGGUAACGGCUUACCAAGGCAACGGUGCAUAGCCGACCUGAGAGGGUGAUCGGCCACACUGGAACUGAGACACGGUCCAGACUCCUACGGGGGGCAGCAGUAGGGAAUCUUCCGCAAUGGGCGAAAGCCUGACGGAGCAACGCCGCGUGAGUGAUGAAGGUCUUCGGAUCGUAAAACUCUGUUAUUAGGGAAGAACAUAUGUGUAAGUAACUGUGCACAUCUUGACGGUACCUAAUCAGAAAGCCACGGCUAACUACGUG